UGGGUCAGACGUGUUAAAUCAAUAUUUUAAUAUUUUGAAGUAAGAAAACCUUGUUUCCUUUCUACGCUGUCUUGCUUCAUUGUAAGGUUCUAUCAACAUUGUUACAAUUUUUGAUUAUGUGAAGGUAAACCAAGAUGCUUCAAUCACUGGCGCAAUUAUUACUUGAAGUUCUUCAGAGUCUUCAUUGAGGGUAAGAACCUUAUCAAGAUGCCAGUUGAAAAUUAAUCUUCAGGAAAUUUAGAACUUCUACAUUUAUGGAAAGUGUUGAUUCCUGUUAGUUUGUUGUUGUAGGAUCCAAGAUUUUUAUGUCAUUUAUAUUUGCUGUUUCGUUUA